AAGAAGAAGAAGAAGAAGCAGAACCAGUCGAAAAAGGGCAAGAACCCUAUUAAGAAGACCGGUUUACCACAAAAUUCUGACAAAUUAAAGGAAGAGUUCCACAUGCAUGCUCCAUCUAAGUUCUUAAUUCUCUGUUUGAAAAACAUUCAGGAUGACCUUCAGCAGGAUGGAGCCUUCAGUGGUAGAGAGGAAAAGCCUUUCUUCAUCCAUACAUGGGGAAUUGAAUUCUGGAAAUAUUUUACCAGUGGCAAAGAUAUUAUUGGUACAAAUCAAGCCCAUGCUACAACUGAGCAAAUUGCUUGGGUUGCAGCAACAACUGCUGAUGCCAUAUCAAGAAAGGAGAAAGAAGGUCUAUCAAUUAGCAACCCCUACCUUUUAUUCCUUGUUCCCUCCCAAGAGAAAGCUGUCA
rnacentral:misc_RNA from 1 species